GCUCUUCCGUGAGAUUGAGACCUGGCGUGGUUUCCAGUGAGGAUCGACCACGUGGAUGCCGGCUGGGACGGAUGCCAGACUGGAUAGAUCCUAGUUUGAUGGGUGCCAGCCUGGACGGACUGUGGUCUGGAUGGAUCCUGGCCCGAAGGAUGCUGGCCUGGAUGGAUCCUGGUCUGGAUGGACCUCGUCUUGAUGACCAGCCUGGACAGACACCAGAGCUGCCCCAAACCUGGAGCGGUCAAAGGGCUGGAAAGCUCCCAGCAAUAAAACCAGUGCCAGGA